rnacentral:rRNA from 1 species
UACGAAGGGGGCUAGCGUUGUUCGGAAUUACUGGGCGUAAAGGGCGCGUAGGCGGUGCCUCAAGUCAGGCGUGAAAGCCCCGGGCUCAACCUGGGAACCGCGCUUGAGACUGGAGUACUAGAGUUCGGGAGAGGAUGGUGGAAUUCCCAGUGUAGAGGUGAAAUUCGUAGAUAUUGGGAAGAACACCGAUGGCGAAGGCAGCCAUCUGGACCGACACUGACGCUGAGGCGCGAAAGCUAGGGGAGCAAACAGG